rnacentral:rRNA from 1 species
AGGCUGCAACCCGCCUGCAUGAAGUUGGAAUCGCUAGUAAUCGCGGAUCAGCCACGGCGCGGUGAAUACGUUCCCGGGCCUUGUACACACCGCCCGUCAAGCCAUGGAAGCCGGGAGUGCCUGAAGUGCGUGAGCGCAAGCAGCGCCCUAAGGUAAAACCGGUGACUGGGGCUAAGUCGUAACAAGGUAAC